AGGCCUCGCUGUUCUCUAUGGCUUUUUAUUCCUAUGUGAUUCUACUGCUCACUCAUAUAGGGAUUGGAGCCGUGGCGCACGGCGGGGACA
ensembl:miRNA